rnacentral:rRNA from 1 species
AGCGAGCGCUGGCGGCAGGCCUAACACAUGCAAGUCGAACGAACCCUUCGGGGUUAGUGGCGGACGGGUGAGUAACACGUGGGAACGUGCCUUUAGGUGCGGAAUAACUCAGGGAAACUUGUGCUAAUACCGAAUGUGCCCUUCGGGGGAAAGAUUUAUCGCCUUUAGAGCGGCCCGCGUCUGAUUAGCUAGUUGGUGAGGUAAUGGCUCACCAAGGCUACGAUCAGUAGCUGGUCUGAGAGGAUGACCAGCCACAUUGGGACUGAGACACGGCCCAAACUCCUACGGGAGGCAGCAGUGGGGAAUCUUGCGCAAUGGGCGAAAGCCUGACGCAGCCAUGCCGCGUGGAUGAUGAAGGUCUUAGGAUUGUAAAAUCCUUUCACCGGUGAAGAUAAUGACUGUAGCCGGAGAAGAAGCCCCGGCUAACUUCGUGCCAGCCGCCGCGGUAACAC